AGUGUUGACAUUUUCAAAAUGACAAUGAAAAAAUUGUUUUGGAAAAAUUUCAAAUUUCUCUUUGAAUACUGAAUGGCAUGGUCCAUUAUCUCCUGAUUACAUCUAAAUAAAACAAUGAAUCAAUCAAUCGAUUGAUUGAUCGAGUGAAAUAUGACUACGAUGACAACAACGAUUUUCAACAUCACUUAAUCAAUUUGACAAGUUUUUUUUCAAAUUUAAAUUUGAAAAAAUCAACAAUCAAAGGUCAUCAUCAUUCCGAUUUCAAUAUUGAUAAUAAUCAAAGAUGACCAAAUAGAAGCCCGAUGGAUAAAUCUAUCUUUGAAAAGAACGAAAAAAAACUAAAUUAAAUGAAGACGAAAAAAAACCGG